rnacentral:lncRNA from 1 species
UCAGCAGCAACAGCAACAUCACUCUUUUGUUCUCCACCUUCUGGUACCUCUUGUUCCAUAGAACUUUUCAUGUUAGCCUGACAUUUAAAGAAAGAUGUACACAUGAGCAGAGUACUUUGUCCAUCAAUAUAUUGCAGUUGGUUCUGAAUGACUAGGAAACUUUAUAAACAAACUAUUCAAGAAUCGAUGUCCUAGUAGCAGAAUUUAAGAAGCUAACAUCAUGGUACAUACACUUUGGUAUUUGAAAAAACUUAGCACUUUUGUGGAACAAACACGUUCAACGCCAUACACCCCAGGGUUGAGCUGUUUGUGUUCAACGCGAGAGUGGAUGGCGCUGAACUGCGCUACCUUCGUCGUUGUCAUUUUUGCCUGCCUCAAGCCAUCCACCACAUGUGAUUUUCCCGGUAGCACAAGGUGAAACAACAGAGUAGGCAUCAGUGAUUGCCAUCUUGGAGCAGAAGCUUGCAAAUAAGUUAAACCUGUACGUGCAUGAAUAAAGAAAAGAGAAAAAAAAUAGAGUAAAGGAUGAACGCUGCUACUGGGUAUGGAAGAAUCUUUCUAGGCCAAGCACUGCAGCUCGUUAUAUAACAAGCCAACACUCACUUUGGUAAUUCACCCAAGGGUCAAAGAAAGGAGGCCACGGUUCAACACCAUAUAUGUUGGCGUUGAGCUCUAACAACUCAACGCCGGCUGUUGAGCCUAUCAUGUGUGUUUGCUCCAUAAAAAUAAUAAAUGAUGAUGCAUCACUAAUAUGUCAUGUUUACAACUCCUCAAUUAAAUGACCAUCUCUCCUUUAGAGGUGAAAAGUGCCAGAACUGGCCCUUGUUUGUUUUCAGGGGCUAAAUAUGGCAAGUAAUUUUGAUUGGGGGUAGUAUGCGUACAUACAAUAUUUUUGGUGUUCCUGAUGGUAUGCAAGUUUUUUUCGAUUGUUGUUAAAUUCAGG